UACGUAGGGGGCAAGCGUUGUCCGGAAUCAUUGGGCGUAAAGCGCGUGUAGGCGGCCAGAUACGUCCGUUCUGAAAGCCCGGGGCUCAACCCCGGAACUGCCCUUGAAACUGCAGUGCUAGAAUCUUGGAGAGGCGAGUGGAAUUCCGAGUGUAGAGGUGAAAUUCGUAGAUAUUCGGAAGAACACCAGUGGCGAAGGCGACUCGCUGGACAAGUAUUGACGCUGAGGUGCGAAAGCGUGGGGAGCAAACAGG
rnacentral:rRNA from 1 species